AGGAUCAACGCCGGCGGCGUGCAUGAGACAUGCAAGUCGAACGGACGAUCAAAGCUUGCUUUGAUCGUUAGUGGCGGACGGCUGAGUAACGCGUGGGUGACCUGCCCCGAAGUGGGGAAUAACUGCCCGAAAGGGUGGCUAAUACCGCAUGUGGUGGUGCGUUCAAUCGCACCAGUAAAGCCGCAAGGCGCUUCGGGAGGGCCUGCGUCCGAUUAGCUCGUUGGCGAGGUAAUGGCCCACCAAGGCUCCGAUCGGUA
rnacentral:rRNA from 1 species